rnacentral:rRNA from 1 species
UACAGAGGUCUCAAGCGUUGUUCGGAUUCAUUGGGCGUAAAGGGUGCGUAGGUGGUGAUGCAAGUCUGGUGUGAAAUCUCGGAGCUCAACUCCGAAAUUGCACCGGAUACUGCGUGACUCGAGGACUGUAGAGGAGAUCGGAAUUCACGGUGUAGCAGUGAAAUGCGUAGAUAUCGGGAGGAACACCAGUGGCGAAGGCGGUUACCUGGAGCUUUGCUGACGCUGAUGCGCGAAAGCGUGGGGAGCGAUCCGG